UACGUAGGGUGCGAGCGUUAAUCGGAAUUACUGGGCGUAAAGCGUGCGCAGGCGGUUUUUCAAGACCGAUGUGAAAUCCCCGGGCUUAACCUGGGAAUGGCAUUGGUGACUGGAAGGCUAGAGUGUGUCAGAGGGGGUAGAAUUCCACGUGUAGCAGUGAAAUGCGUAGAGAUGUGGAGGAAUACCGAUGGCGAAGGCAGCCCCCUGGGAUAACACUGACGCUCAUGCACGAAAGCGUGGGGAGC
rnacentral:rRNA from 1 species